rnacentral:ncRNA from 1 species
GUGUUCAUUGAAAUGAGAGAUGGUUGUUACUUUGACAAGGACAGGAAUGACCUUCAGUCUUACCUUUUACCAUGCAUAUGGUUGGGGAUGCACACUUAUGUGGAUCUUUACCCAACAGGUUGC